rnacentral:rRNA from 1 species
GACGAACGCUGGCGGCGUGCCUAAUACAUGCAAGUAGAACGCACAGUUUAUACCGUAGCUUGCUACACCAUAAACUGUGAGUUGCGAACGGGUGAGUAACGCGUAGGUAACCUGCCUGGUAGCGGGGGAUAACUAUUGGAAACGAUAGCUAAUACCGCAUAAUAUUGAUUAUUGCAUGAUAAUUGAUUGAAAGAUGCUAUUGCAUCACUACCAGAUGGACCUGCGUUGUAUUAGCUAGUAGGUGAGGUAACGGCUCACCUAGGCGACGAUACAUAGCCGACCUGAGAGGGUGAUCGGCCACACUGGGACUGAGACACGGCCCAGACUCCUACGGGAGGCAGCAGUAGGGAAUCUUCGGCAAUGGACGAAAGUCUGACCGAGCAACGCCGCGUGAGUGAAGAAGGUUUUCGGAUCGUAAAGCUCUGUUGUAAGAGAAGAACGGGUGUGAGAGUGGAAAGUUCACACUGUGACGGUAUCUUAUCAGAAAGGGACGGCUAACUACGUG